AUGUAUGCUUUUAGCGGGAAUAUUAUUAAAGAUGGGAGCAUAUGGAUUGAUUCGGAUCAACAUGGAAUUGUUACCUCAUGCUCAUUAUCUAUUUUCGCCCUGGUUAGUAAUAAUAGGAGCGAUCCAAAUAAUCUA
rnacentral:rRNA from 1 species